AUUGCUAAUACGUGUCUGAAGAAUCCUAGUCAAUCCACUAGAACAGGGUAAAACCUGUGCUAGUGACUAGGAUGCAGUUGACCGAAAUAGGAACCAACGCUGGCAACAGCAGCGGUCUGUGGAUGAAACAGGUCAACCGAGCGAUAGCACACGACCUCGAGUCGGUGCAAGCCCGCAAGAGCAUCUGCCCUAUCAGCUUUUGACGGUAGUGUAGUGGACUACCGUGGCGUUCACGGGUAACGGGGAAUUAGGGUUCGAUUCCGGAGAGGGAGCCUGAGAAACGGCUACCACAUCUAAGGAUGGCAGCAGGCGCGCAAAUUGCCCAAUAGCAACACUGCUGAGGCAGCGAAGAGAAAUAGUGUCAAUUUACGCAUCUGUGUACAUUGCACACAAUGGACGAUAUCUAAACCUGUCGAUGAAAGCAAUUGGAGGACAAGUCUGGUGCCAGCACCCGCGGUAAUUCCAGCUCCAAUAGCGU
rnacentral:rRNA from 1 species